GUCAUCCUUUUGUAUCUUAGUGCAUAAAUGGCAUGUAUCAUCGAUUCUUAAAUGUUCGGUGCUGCGGUGGUGUAAUGGUUAGCGCACUGAACUUACAAUGCAGAGGUUCGCCAGUUCGAUUCGGUGUCCCGCAACAAGGGGCAGUCUUCUUAACCCCCCACUCACCCCGCCUCUGUCCACCCAACAAUAUCCGAUGGGGACACCAAAGUCAAUCGGCAGAUCACGUCAUUUUAGCACGCAAAUAUCGCCUGAUGAAGCUGGACGCAAUGACAAGCGAAGCGGCAUUACUUGCGUUGUAAAUGCCCACGCCGGUGGCCUGAAGUAUGAACCAAUUGUCACGUUUCUGUUCACGUGGCAAACCUUGCUAAAUUACUGUGUCGGGUGGUGGUGGGUUGACGACGCAUUUUCUUUUUUUUAUUACGCGACUCUAACCCAAAAUGUGUUGUAUUAAUAUUAUUAUUAUGGGCAGAUCGUGUGUGGUGGGGUAAAAUGCGGGAACUCUCGCUUCUUCCAGAAUAUCUGGCCAGCUUGGAAGACGAACUCAAGAUGGGCCCUCAAUGUUUAGAUCUCGUGGAGCCAUUGCUGGCAGCAGCAUAGCAAUCAAACUGUUGCAGGUCUGCAACUGUACCUAUUUUUCACAUUUAAAAGUGUCAUUGUCGUUUGUUCCCAAAUGCGCAUGUGUCAACUCAGGGACAAGUGGUGACAACCGCAUAGAGAGGGUUCGAGAAGGGAAGGAGGCGGGUGGGGACGUGGUUCGAUGCUGUUUUGGCAGGGGAUUCGGGUCGUGGCUGGUUUCUGUCUCAUCGUCGUCGUUGCUGUAUCGUGACGCCGGGGUCCUAAGCCGCGUCAGAGGCUAAAUAAAAGAACCCUCUACAGUCUGAGUCCGGAGUCAUUACACAUGGAUGUAUGUAUGUAUGUUGAACUUCUUUCACACCGUACGCGGCCAACCGAGCUAAUAAGAGGUGCGAAUGUGUUUAAUGAUAGGUUACGGGUUCAUCCCUAGCCGAACCGAUGUCCUAAUAAAUGUAACAUUAUUUUGUAGGGAAUUAUAACAUUCACCGUCUUUGUCCAACAGAUGUUACGCUGGACUUGAUAAAUGCACAUGAGGUGCAGCCAGUCUUGGCUGAUACACCACGAGGCAUACUCAAAUAAGGGAGAAAGGAAGACGAUUACACAGUUCGUGAACAAGAUUAUCCAUAGCGUACAUGAAGACAAAUGUCACCUAAUAUACGGGUGAAUGUUAAGAGGAGGAAUAUUUGUGGCGAUUCGGGUGGCAGCUCCACCUCUUCGGAAAACUCACAUGGCGUUGCUUCACUUCACCACAGAGAAUACGUCCCACUGCAGGACAUUUUUGCAGGUCACUUUGGACACCACCAACGUUUCCACACAUGAGCAAAGCAUUGGCAAAAGGUGAACCUGCAAGACUUGCAACUUGGAUGUUUGUCGCGCGCUACAAUACACCGUGUGGCGGGGAUGUGAUUCUGUUUAACGCACGUUCGACAUUAGCACCGCAGACAGAUAUCUCUUUCAGGAAAAAACAAACAAACAUAAAGAUGCCUUGUUGAGCUCCCACUUAAUUUGGGUGCAAAUUGUUGCAUGCAAGCUCAAUAUAUAUGUAUACAAAUAAAAACAAAUUCUACAAAAUUUAAAGAUGCCUUGUUUUCGUCCUAUAAACGUCAACAUUUUUUUAAGUUUCAAACUGAAAUGGUGAGAUCAAUGCUGGUCAGAUCAAAAAACAAAAAUCCAUACUGACGAUGUUGUGUACGGCUCGCCAACUCAGUUGCCAUGACCGGGGGAUUCAGGUGUCCAUUCCACCCAGCUUACUGUCGUGCUGAUAGCGACGUAUUAAAAAAUGAUGAGACCAAGUGGGUGGGUGGCAAUACAUUCACUAAUUACAGACGGUAACGGGGAGGGACAUCGGCCAUCACUCUCCCUCCGGGGCGUGUCAUCCUGCCCGACACUUUCAUUUUUCUCGCUUAAUUCAAUAACACCCCAGUGUUAUUAAGUAUGGCAGAAUGAUAUCCCACUGUGAAAGCGGAAAUUAAUGCGAUUUGAGCAUAAUAAACAGUUUCCGUGAAUUUUCCACCCGCCGAGCUAUUUCCAAAAAAAAUAUAAAAGCCACGCUCUCCUCCGUUCGGUUUAAAUGUUUUAAGUUGAAAUGCACUCUGGGCUGUGACUGCAAUUAACGAGGAAAUAAAUACGUAAAUAAACAAACCUUAUUUCUAAAUAAUGAUGGCGCUGCCAGUGCGUUGCUACUGUAAAUGCACGCAUUGAGCAAUGGUUAUUAUCUCGAUUUCCUUUCAUUUGGCUUUAUUUGCUGGUUUGAGGAAGAAUGCAAAUGUUAAUAAUUUAUAAAAUUGAAUGACAAUGGCAGUUUCAAUGAAAUGUAGAUGCCCGGGCAUUGCAUUUUUUUUUAAUACUGUGAUGUGUAUAGACAACUUACCUCUUUCCCCCCCCAGCGAAUUUGAUUGUGCAAAAAUGCAUGACAUUCAAACAUUUUCGGUAAAUAGUGUAGAUUUAUUCAUACACAACUUUUCUCGUGUAUCUGCUAUGCAUACGAGCUGAUGUCAAUGCGAGUGUUUUAAGGAAUUACGUCACCAAAAAACGUAAUAUACAUACAUCAAAUCCACCAAUUUAAUAUGGAAAAUAUUAUUUAAAUUUACGUGCGAAAUAUUAUUGGGUGCCACGGUCGUGAGAUGUUAACUACCUCGC